rnacentral:rRNA from 1 species
AGCCAGACUCCUACGGGAGGCAGCAGUGGGGAAUAUUGCACAAUGGGGGAAACCCUGAUGCAGCGACGCCGCGUGAAUGAAGAAGUAUUUCGGUAUGUAAAGCUCUAUCAGCAGGGAAGAAAAUGACGGUACCUGACUAAGAAGCCCCGGCUAACUACGUGCCAGCAGCCGCGGUAAUACGUAGGGGGCAAGCGUUAUCCGGAUUUACUGGGUGUAAAGGGAGCGUAGACGGCAUGGCAAGUCAGAUGUGAAAGCCCGGGGCUCAACCCCGGGACUGCAUUUGAAACUGUCAGGCUGGAGUGCAGGAGAGGUAAGUGGAAUUCCUAGUGUAGCGGUGAAAUGCGUAGAUAUUAGGAGGAACACCAGUGGCGAAGGCGGCUUACUGGACCGAAACUGACGUUGAGGCUCGAAAGCGUGGGGAGCAAACAGGAUUAGAUACCCUGGUA